AUUUAUAUAGUUUAAAUAAAACCUUACAUUUUCAUUGUAAAAUUAAAAUUUUCUAUUUUUAUAAAUU
rnacentral:tRNA from 1 species